GAUGAAGAACGUAGCGAAAUGCGAUAAGUAAUGCGAAUUGCAGAAUUUCCGUGAGUCAUCGAAUCUUUGAACUCACAUUGCGCCCACUGGUAUUCCGGUGGGCAUGCCUGUUCGAGCGUCAUUAUCCUCCCUCAAACCCCGGGUUUGGUGUUGGACCCAAGUUGUGUGAACAACUGGUCUUAAAGACAAUGACGGCGUCCGUGGGACCCUCGGUGCAACGAGCUUUUAGGAGCACGCAUCGAGUUGCAAGGACCUUCCGGGCCGGUCUCCUUUACUAUUUUACAAGGUUGACCUCGGAUCAGGUAGGAAUACCCGCUGAACUUAAGCAUAUCAAUAAGCGGAGGA
rnacentral:misc_RNA from 1 species